rnacentral:rRNA from 1 species
GAUGAACGCUGGCGGCGUGCCUAACACAUGCAAGUCGAGCGAGAACCGCUGGAAUGACACUUCGGUAGAAUGAAAGCGGGGAAAGCGGCGGACGGGUGAGUAACGCGUAGGUAACCUGCCCCAUACACAGGGAUAGCCUAGGGAAACCUGGAUUAAUACCUGAUGAAGCAACUGGUCGCAUGACCGGCUGCCAAAGAUUUAUCGGUAUGGGAUGGACCUGCGUCUGAUUAGUGAGUUGGUGGGGUAAUGGCCUACCAAAGCGACGAUCAGUAGCCGACCUGAGAGGGUGAUCGGCCACAUUGGGACUGAGACACGGCCCAAACUCCUACGGGAGGCAGCAGUGGGGAAUAUUGCACAAUGGGCGAAAGCCUGAUGCAGCAACGCCGCGUGAAGGAAGAAGGCUUUCGGGUCGUAAACUUCUAUCGAUGGGGAAGAAGAAAUGACAGUACCCAAGUAAGAAGCCCCGGCUAACUACGUG